rnacentral:rRNA from 1 species
GAUGAACGCUGGCGGCGUGCCUAAUACAUGCAAGUCGAGCGAACGGACGAGAAGCUUGCUUCUCUGAUGUUAGCGGCGGACGGGUGAGUAACACGUGGAUAACCUACCUAUAAGACUGGGAUAACUUCGGGAAACCGGAGCUAAUACCGGAUGAUAUUUUGAACCGCAUGGUUCAAAAGUGAAAGACGGUCUUGCUGUCACUUAUAGAUGGAUCCGCGCUGCAUUAGCUAGUUGGUAAGGUAACGGCUUACCAAGGCAACGAUGCAUAGCCGACCUGAGAGGGUGAUCGGCCACACUGUAACUGAGACACGGUCCAGACUCCUACGGGAGGCAGCAGUAGGGAAUCUUCCGCAAUGGGCGAGAGCCUGACGGAGCAACGCCGCGUGAGUGAUGAAGGUCUUCGGAUCGUAAAACUCUGUUAUUAGGGAAGAACAUAUGUGUAAGUAACUGUGCACAUCUUGACGGUACCUAAUCAGAAAGCCACGGCUAACUACGUG